UAACCUGCCUGGUAGCGGGGGAUAACUAUUGGAAACGAUAGCUAAUACCGCAUAACAGUAGAUGUUGCAUGACAUUUGCUUAAAAGAUGCAAUUGCAUCACUACCAGAUGGACCUGCGUUGUAUUAGCUAGUUGGUGGGGUAACGGCUCACCAAGGCGACGAUACAUAGCCGACCUGAGAGGGUGAUCGGCCACACUGGGACUGAGACACGGCCCAG
rnacentral:rRNA from 1 species